CCUACGGGAGGCAGCAGUGGGGAAUCUUGCGCAAUGGGCGGAAGCCUGACGCAGCAACGCCGCGUGCGGGAAGAAGGCCUUAGGGUCGUAAACCGCUUUCAGGGGGGACGAAGCUUCCGGGGUUAAUAGCCUACGGGGUGACGGUACUCCCAAAAGAAGGUCCGGCUAACUACGUGCCAGCAGCCGCGGUAAUACGUAGGGACCGAGCGUUGUCCGGAAUCAUUGGGCGUAAAGAGCGUGUAGGCGGCUUGGUAGGUCUCGUGUGAAAUCCCGCGGCUCAACCGCGGAUCCGCACGGGAAACCCCUAAGCUCGAGUCCGGAAGAGGAGAGUGGAAUUCCUGGUGUAGCGGUGAAAUGCGCAGAUAUCAGGAAGAACACCCGUAGCGAAGGCGGCUCUCUGGGACGGUACUGACGCUGAGACGCGAAAGCGUGGGGAGCAAACAGGAUUAGAUACCCUGGUAGUCCACGCCGUAAACGAUGGGCGCUAGGUGUGGGAGGUGUCGACUCUCCCGUGCCGAAGCUAACGCAUUAAGCGCCCCGCCUGGGGAGUACGGCCGCAAGGCUAAAACUCAAAUGAAUUGACGG
rnacentral:rRNA from 1 species